rnacentral:lncRNA from 10 species
CUGAGGGAGCCCUAGCAGGACCCACACUCCUGUCUCCCAGCUGCCCUUCCUUCUCAAGGCUGCCUUUCAGAUCCUCCUGUAAGCAAGAAGUGAUCCCAGCCUCCAGAUGGAAAGAUCAAGGCCCAGAGAAGGUCAGUGGUGGUUGGAGGCCUGAGGUCACACAGCAGCCAAGUCUGGAGUCACUAGUCAAGAGUCCUGGGUUGCUGCCCCAUCAACCCAUCCCGGAUAACUCCCAAGAUCUCAGCCCAAGCCAGGCUGACAGUGUUGGCUUUGUACUUGCUUCCUGGAACACAUCUGGCCUCAGACUCCUGAGGCCAAGACACACUCCCUGCCAGCCACCCUGCCAUGGCUUGCCAGCUCUCCUCACCCAGGGACAACAGUGGGCAUCUGUCCACACCAACCAGGCUCGUCAGGUCUCCGGGAGCUGCUUGAAUCCUUCCACAAUCUUGGG